rfam:Schistosoma curassoni strain Dakar, Senegal genome assembly, scaffold: SCTD_contig0030413
AUACUGCUGAGGAGUCCCAUACUAGGACGAAACGGCCGUCCAGUAC